UACGUAGGUGGCUAGCGUUGUCCGGAUUUACUGGGCGUAAAGAGCGCGAAGGCGGUCGUUCAAGUCGAGUGUGAAAGCCCCCGGCUCAACUGGGGAGGGUCACUCGAUACUGAUCGACUCGAAGGCAGGAGAGGGAAGCGGAAUUCCCGGUGUAGUGGUGGAAUGCGUAGAUAUCGGGAGGAACACCAGUGGCGAAGGCGGUUGCCUGGAGCUUUGCUGACGCUGAGGCGCGAAAGCGUGGGGAGCGAUCCGG
rnacentral:rRNA from 1 species